UGUUUUGUGGCUUAGUUGAUUAAAGCUCCGGAUUAGCGAUACGGAGUCGUGGUUUCAAUCCUACCAAAAGAA
rnacentral:tRNA from 1 species